GAUGAACGCUGACAGAAUGCUUAACACAUGCAAGUCUACCAAGAAUCACUUCGGUGAGGAAUGGUGGCGGACGGGUGAGUAACGCGUAAAUAAUCUGCCCGUUAGCCUGGGCUAUCCUUUGGCAACCAAGGUUAAUACCGGAUAUUAUGAGAUGCACGCAUGUUCAACUUCUGAAAGCUAAAUGCACUAGAGGAGGAGUUUGCGUCCCAUUAGCUAGUUGGUGAGGUAACGGCUCACCAAGGCCACGAUGGGUAGCCGGCCUGAGAGGGUGAACGGACACAAGGGAACUGAGACACGGUCCUUACUCCUACGGGAGGCAGCAGUGGGGAAUAUUGGACAAUGGACCAAAUGUCUGAUCCAGCAAUUCUGUGUGCACGAUGAAGGUCUUCGGAUUGUAAAGUGCUUUCAGUAGGGAAGAAAAAAAUGACGGUACCUACAGAAGAAGCGACGGCUAAAUAUGUGCCAGCAGCCGCGGUAAGAC
rnacentral:rRNA from 1 species